rnacentral:lncRNA from 1 species
UUUCAUCUUUUGUCUUUCGAGGGCUGCACUCGAGGCACACGGAGGUUCCCAGGCUAGGGGUUGAAUAGAAGCCACAGCUGCUGGCCUAUAGCAAACCACAGCAAUGUCAAAUCCAAGCCGCAUCUUCGACCUAUACCACAGCUCACGGCAACACCAGAUCCUUAACCCAUUGAGCGAGGCCAGGAAUCAAACCCACAACCUUGUGGUUCCUAAUUGGAUUAAUUUCCACUGAGACAUAACGGGAACUCCCUAAAAACUUCAACUAUCUCCAUCCUCUAUUCAGACUUUAGAGCUUCAUGUUCCCAGGAAGUAAUCAUUAUACUAGCAAACAUUUAUGUGGCACUAUGUGCAGACACUUAUAUAUGUUAGUGCAUUUAACUGUAUUAUCCCGAGAGCCCCAUGUGGUAGAAAUCACUAGUGAUCAUCCCCCUGGUCACGUGAGGAACUGAGGCACAGGUAGGUUAAACGACAUGCCAGUAGUGUGGGGGCUGGGCUCUGAGCCGGGCUGGUUCCUCUCAUCCCCUCUGGCGAUGCGGCCUCCGUGCCUCAUCAACACGCUUCUCAAAGUACAGAAGCGGUGGCAGAAGUGAAUUACUCUCAGGCACUUAUCAUAAGACAGAGGCGGUAUCAGGACCUGAACUCUCACUCUUUCCGUGCUCUGUGCUGGCCCGGGUGCUCUUCCUCUGACAUCAAGGUAAAAAGAACUAUUUCCAAUGAAUGCCCAUUAGAUCAGAGAUUACACCAGGUAUAAUCUGCCACAAGAAAACCAGCAAGCAUGUCACUGGGACAGUCUAGCUUGUAAUAUGUUUUACUCUCUUCAUUUCUAUUAUUUGACAUAUGGGCAUCUGCAUAUAACGUUCCACUUCCAACAUACAAAUCCCCCAUACGAUGGCUAAUUUUAUGUGUCAACUUGACUUGGCUAUGGUGCCCAGUUCUUUGGUUAAAUACCAGUCUUGAUGUGGCUGUAAAGGUUAUAUUUUUAGAUGUGAUUAACAUUUACAUCAGUAGACUUAGAGGAAAGCAUACUGCCCUCCUUAAUAUGAGUGGGCCUCAUCCAAGCAUUGGGAGGCCUUAUGAGCAAAGAUUGAGGUUUUCUGAAGAACCAAUUCUGUCUUAAGACUGUAACAUAGAAGCCCUGCCUGAGUCUCUAGUCUGUAGACUGGGGCCUCAAGACUGCAGCAUCACUCCACCUGAAUCUCCAGCCUAUUGGCCUGCUCUACAGAUUUUGGACUUGCCAGUCUCCACAAUCACAUAAGCCAAUUCUUUAAAAUAAAUCUCUCUCCCUCUGUGUAUGUGUGUGUAUGCGUAUAUACAUAUACACAUACAUACACAUAUGUGGACAUAUAGGAUAUACAUGGAGAUAUAUAGGAUAUAUGUGAUAUAUAUGAUACAUACAUACACACACAUAUGAUACAUCACCUGCUGGUAUACAUUGGUAUAUAUGUCCUAUUGGCUAUAUAGGUAUAUGUAUCUUUGUAUAUACAUAUGACACACACAUACACACGUUCUCUGCUUUCUUUUUCUCCGCAGAACGGACUCAUCCACCCCAGAACCCAGGCUAUAUCAUGUUUACAAAGGAGGCUCUCAAUACAGAGCCACAAAUUGUUCUACUAGAGCUUCCUUCCUGAUUUCUCAGAAGGAAAGACGAAGCUGGCUGCUUUAAGUGUUAGCACAGAGACUAGCAAACUUGCUGAAGCUGGGUAACCCACUCUCCUUGGUUUGACCAUGGAAGAUUCUAAUCCACAUGCGCUCUGUGAAUGGCUGUGAUUUGAAAGGCUACAAAGACACACACCCUGGUCUGCGGACGUCCCCCCGACAGGCCCCAGAGACCCACUGCUGCACAGCAGCUCAGAGCCUAGCCAAGUCCCCCGCUGCGGGAAGGGCACCACCCACCAUCUCGGCUUUCUGGGCCACUCCAGGCCAAGGGACUUGAAGAGGCGAUUUGGUUUACUCUGGUAUUUUGGUAACCACUUCCUUCCAAAACCCUGGCAUAGUCCCUUAUUCCUCUAAGGGCCCCCAACUUCUAUCUGCACGUGGGUUUGGUUGCUAGCCUCUCAUCUGCUUGCUGGCAAGCCUCUCAUUCUGACUGCCGGAACUCCUCUUCUAUCUAGGCUCCUAGAAAACCAAUAUUUAUUUCCUUAAGAAAAGAUCUCAGAAGGCCAAUCGCCUUCCCCCUGCCCCUUCUGUCUUUCUGUCCAUCCCGCCCAAACCGCAGAACCCCAUGCUGGGUAAAGCACCAGCGCUGGGGGCGAGGACUCUGUCACACGGAGAACAUCCAAGAUUGCCCAAAGCUGUUUUCCUUGUGGCUUCUUCAGUAGCAGGCACGCCGCCUUCAGUGUUUACAGUCAGCAAUUUUGAAUGUGCUGACACGGAGAACAGUGACCACAGAGGCCACGCAAACCAGCAGAGAAGAGAGAGCCCCGGUGAAAUGCCUGGGGGGACUCGGGGCCUCAAUCCUCUACUGCCUGUCCCAGGUCCACCCGCAAGGCCGCGGGCUCAGAGAGGCCCAGACUGAGGGCAGGGAAGGGACACAGCUCACCUCCUUCUGCGUUUUCCUUCCUCCACAGCUUCAUCCCAGGGCUUCUAUGCUGGGGACAGACUCAGGCGGCACGGAGUGGGAGGGGGCCACCCUCCGACCCCUGCCAGGAGGGAGGCUGGGUCAGGCUGCUCCUUUCCCAGCAACUUCAGGAACUUCUCCCUCACCAGCAUUUCACUUAGCAAAGUUCUUUAGAUUGCUGAUUUGCUUUUGUUCAUUUUUUCCCUCUAGUAGCAGAGAAAGUUUUGUAAGCUAAAAGGGUGCCAGGAAAUUGCUGCGUAGCAAGUCUAGCAUGGGGGCGGGGGGAGGGACCAUUAAAUUAAAGCUUGAAAAGGACUAUUAGAAUAUCACUAUCGUGUUUUACAGGCAGACUGGGAUUUGGGGAUUCUGGAAUCCCUCUCUUCUUGGCUCUAACUGGGUUAGAUGAUAGAGGGAAUCAUUUAGUGCAAGGAGCUCACAUGGAGUGUCUGGGGAGCCAGUGGGUCUCCCUGUUCUCAGACAGACACCAUGGGGCACUUCUGGGACCUGGGCUCAUAUACGAAUAGGUGGAAAAGCUGAACUUGAUCUUGGCCUCCUAAAUAAAGCACUGGUUCUCAAACUCUCAUAGGUUACAUCUGUGGUCUGAAAAUCCCUACCACCCCCCCUACUGUAUACUCAUAUGCCGAGAGGGAAAAAAAUCACACUCACAGGAAUUCUAAGAAAACUAGGUACACUGGGGGUGAGAACUAUGGAGAGAUUGUUCUCUCUCCAGCAAAGUGGUGUGCCCCCCUUCGCCUGUGUGGACUGGAUACUAGUGACUAGAUUUGCAGUAAAGAACUACAUUUCCCAGCUCUCCUUGCAGACAGAGGGGGAUAUUUGACUUAGUGCUGCCAAAAGAAUGUGGGCAGAAAUGAUGUAUGCCCUUUCCAGGGCAUACAUCACAUAAAAAGCUCCAGCAAGACUCCCUAAGAUCGUCUCUUUUCUUCAUCAGCUAGAAGCAAAAGGUUCCAAAAAUCCAUGGAACAACUUCUAGAUGGAAGGAGCUGGUUGCUUGUCCACUAAAUGCCCAUGCUGGACUUGUAAAAGAGAAGUGAAUUUUUACUGGUAAGUCACUGAGGACCACAGCAUUCUCUAUCACAAAAACUACGAUACAAAAUCAAUGUGAUAUCAGAGGAAAAGUGUGAAUUUAACUAGACAGAGUGACAUAGACGUUAAACAUGGUAUGGACACCAUUUGGGUUUUUAAAAAAGGACACACUU